AUUCCAGAUUGUUCUUUUUGUCUCUCUUUUCUCUUCUUCCUCACCAAUCUCUCCAAAUAUCAAACAACAAGAAGCACUCUCGAGAAAGAGUUAAGCCACGAGUAUGAAGAACUUGUACUAAUAUCAUUCAUUUCACUUGAUGAUAUUCCAAUUAUAAUCCUAAUUCUUAUCCCUACAGGAUACAAGUAUCCAUUCUCUCUUGCUUAUGACUAAAGUGUCUCUUUCAUCCUCGGAGCUUUCGAAUAUCAAGAAAUGCUCACUUUUCUUCAUCCUUUCAACUGGUUUAUAAGUUCAGGUACAUAUACUACUCUUCAAUUGAUGCAUACCUCAGACUUGAUUAUUUCCCACACUUUGAGGAGUUGAUUUGUCUAAGGCUUUAAGCAUUUGGUCUACCUCAAUGCCAACAAAUGAUGUGCAAGAAUUCUCCAAGAAGGCAUAGAAUAUACAUACAUAGAUCUGGCCCAAGUGUUGUCGCAUUGUCUUCCACUGUAGGUGUCUUUAUAAUCUAGAUCAAAGAUGAUUGCAUCAAGUUCAAGAGUGCUUACCAUGGUAAACAAGAAGAAUUCAUAGAAUUAUAACUAAAGUGUUGCAGGAAUACACCCAACAAGAACAUUCGACUGACGACUGCUUCAGUUGACAUGGCACCAUAUCUGGGUCCACAUUUGUCCAAGAUUUCAGAUAGAAAUAGUUUCAUAUAUCAAGACACAUCUAAUUUUUAACUUUUUAGUAUUCGUACCGAAGUUUGUAAUUAUGAAUUAUGAUCCAAGUACGAGUACAUGAAGAGGAUAUCAAUUGUGUUGGG